AAAUCAGAUUCAUAGAAUCCAUUUGCAAAAUGAGAAGACACCAACUUUCCUCUUAUGUACAGAUCUAAGAUCUGCUGUGUACAUACAUGGCAAAUGUACUAAGAUGCUGUAAGAAUCAUCUACCCUCACUGGCAUCUGCUCUCCAAGUUUUCAGAAAGGGGCAUUCCCAGCUGUACCUGAAGAUGCUGUGGAUUGAAUCCGGGAUCUUCUGCAUACAAAGCUGAUGCACUGACAGUGAGCUACAGACCUUUCCCAUAUAUACAUGAUAAGGAAUUAUUGGAACUGGAUUACAGUCACAUGUGGAGAACUGAAAUGGGGUAGACGACUGUGGAUCAGGUUAAGCUGUUGUUACCCUUGAUUCCAAUCGAAUAUACUUAAGCAUGCUUUGUAUCAGCUGCUCAGCCAAAGUAGUUUUCCAGGAAAAUAAGAACUAUAAAGAGCUACACAUGUCUGAUAACAGUUCAUAGAGUGGGCACAGCAGUUAAAACAAAUCUUUAAAAGCAAAGCAGAUGGUAAUGCCCUUACCACAUGUACCAUAAAUAUAUUAAUAAGUGAUUAUAAAUUAGACCCGUUCUUGACCAUCUAUUGCUUUGUUGCAGAGGAGAACUGGGCCAGAUAAUACACAGAAAGAUGGAAAUAUUUGACCAAAGAUAACCUUCUUCUGAAACACACACAUGCACCAUUGAGAAGACAUUAAAAUAUAACCACAAAGGAUAAGGCUAUUUUGUGAUAUGACAUAGUCAGAACAUGCCAAGAACCUUUCCAAAUAACAUCAUCCCUCCGUUCUUUGAGUGUAGCUGAAUACAUUCUGAAAACAGCUUGUUUUCUCACCGACACUGAUGAGCACUUCCUCGCAUGAGAAAUACCAGCUGAUUGCUAUAGGGCUAUUCUUCAAGAUUAAUUGCUCUAAAUGAGGAUUAACAUAGCGAGGGGGAGAGUUACAGAAAGCCACAUAGGAAGAGAUAGUGAGUGAGACUUCUAACACUUAUCAGAAGGGUGGAGAGUACUCCAAAUGACAGGUUCGUGCAUCAGGAAGCUAAAGGAAGUCAAUGGCGGAAUAAUAAAAGCAGUCAGAGACUGCUUCCAUUAUCAGGGAAAUGGCUGGAUCUAGCCUUGUCUGCAAUGACUGAGUCUCUUUUUCUUCCCCUCCCUGCGUGUGGAAAUGGCACAUGUAGGAGACAAUCUGCAUAAUGUGUAGAAGAAAGAAAAAUGGCCUAUAUUAUAGCUCAUCAUGUGUUGAUCUAUACAUGCCCUUACUCUCCGCAGAUGAUACCAUGACUUUCUGCUCUGAUGAGUGAUUUCUUUUCAACUGAUAAAGCACUGUGUAAAUUUUCAGAGCAGGCAUAUCUGCAUGCAGUAGAUGCCCAUCCUUGCUAUGGCUUUUUUAACCCCUCCCCCAUUGUAGCCUUGUUUCAGCGCAUGAUAGGAAAGUGAAUGCAUACACCAAGAGGCAGUGAGCUGUUUUUCAAAGAUGCCUUUCAGUGUGAGUGUACUGGAUGUAAGCCCUUUUGAUUUCAAUGAGACUUAAUUUCAAGUAAGUGUACUUAGGAUUGCAGGCUUUCUACUAUUUUGUCUGUCACUGUAAAUCAAAAUAAGUGACUAAUCCCCAGAUGAUGCCAGAUCCAUGCAUGGAUCGGGUUGCAAGUUAAUCUUCAUGGCACUGUUUAUGGUAGCAGUGGUGAGACACCUCUUUUAAAAAGACUAUGAAAAGUGCUUCUUGUACUUCUGUCUGUGCUACAGCACUAAUCUGAGAGGAUAUGUUCCAACCCUUCCUUUAAAAAAGGAAAUAGUGUGUGUGCAUGGGUAUUUCCCAUUGUUUCAGUAAAGCAUUGUGCCUUGCAUAUGCUAGGAAGUAGCUCCUGCACUUAUUGACUGUGGUAUUCCAGGAACAGGUUAAAACCGUCUAGAAUUUCAGAAGAAACUUCUUAAAAUAGGGGCUGUAUCCAACACUG